rnacentral:rRNA from 1 species
CCUACGGGAGGCAGCAGUGAGGAAUAUUGGUCAAUGGACGAGAGUCUGAACCAGCCAAGUAGCGUGAAGGAUGACUGCCCUAUGGGUUGUAAACUUCUUUUAUAUGGGAAUAAAAUGUUCCACGUGUGGGAUUUUGUAUGUACCAUAUGAAUAAGGAUCGGCUAACUCCGUGCCAGCAGCCGCGGUAAUACGGAGGAUCCGAGCGUUAUCCGGAUUUAUUGGGUUUAAAGGGCGCGUAGGUGGAUUGUUAAGUCAGUUGUGAAAGUUUGGGGCUCAACCGUAAAAUUGCAGUUGAAACUGGCAGUCUUGAGUACAGUAGAGGUAGGCGGAAUGCGUGGUGGAGCGGUGAAAUGCUUAGAUAUCACGAAGAACUCCGAUUGCGAAGGCAGUUCACUGGACUGCAACUGACACUGAGGCUCGAAAGUGUGGGUAUCAAACAGGAUUAGAUACCCUUGUAGUC